CCUACGGGCGGCUGCAGUCGGGAAUUUUGCGCAAUGGACGAAAGUCUGACGCAGCAACGCCGCGUGAGGGAUGAAGGCCUUCGGGUUGUAAACCUCUUUUCUCAGGGAAGAUAAUGACGGUACCUGAGGAAGAAGCCACGGCUAACUACGUGCCAGCAGCCGCGGUAAUACGUAGGUGGCGAGCGUUGUCCGGAUUUACUGGGCGUAAAGAGCGCGCAGGCGGUCGUGCAAGUCGCGUGUGAAAGCCCCCGGCUCAACUGGGGAGGGUCACGCGAUACUGUUCGACUCGAAGGCAGGAGAGGGAAGUGGAAUUCCCGGUGUAGUGGUGAAAUGCGUAGAUAUCGGGAGGAACACCAGUGGCGAAGGCGACUUCCUGGCCUGUUCUUGACGCUGAGGCGCGAAAGCUAGGGUAGCAAACGGGAUUAGAUACCCCGGUAGUC
rnacentral:rRNA from 1 species